rnacentral:rRNA from 1 species
AGGAUGAACGCUGGCGGCGUGCUUAACACAUGCAAGUCGAACGAUGAAGGCUGGAGCUUGCUCUGGCUGGAUUAGUGGCGAACGGGUGAGUAACACGUGAGUAACCUGCCCCAGACUCUGGGAUAAGCGCUGGAAACGGCGUCUAAUACCGGAUACGAGCUUCCACCGCAUGGGUGAGGAGCUGGAAAGAAUUUUCGGUCUGGGAUGGACUCGCGGCCUAUCAGCUUGUUGGUGAGGUAAUGGCUCACCAAGGCGACGACGGGUAGCCGGCCUGAGAGGGUGACCGGCAC